rnacentral:rRNA from 1 species
CUACGGGACGCACCAGUGAGGAAUAUUGCACAACGGGGGGAACCCUGAUGCAGCAACGCCGCGUGGAGGAUGACGCAUUUCGGUGUGUAAACUCCUUUUAUAUGUCAAGAAAAUGACGGUAGCAUAUGAAUAAGCACCGGCUAACUCCGUGCCAGCAGCCGCGGUAAUAGGAGGGUGCAAGCGUUACUCGGAAUCACUGGGCGUAAAGGACGCGUAGGCGGGUUGGAAAGUCAGGUGUGAAAUCCUACAGCUUAACUGUAGAACUGCACUUGAAACUUCUAAUCUAGAGUAUGGGAGGGGGAGAUGGAAUUAGUGGUGUAGGGGUAAAAUCCGUAGAUAUCACUAGGAAUACCUAAAGCGAAGGCGAUCUCCUGGAACAUUACUGACGCUAAGGCGUGAAAGCGUGGGGAGCAAACAGGAUUAGAUACCCGAGUAGUC